rnacentral:rRNA from 1 species
UACGGGGGGGGCAAGCGUUGUUCGGAAUUACUGGGCGUAAAGGGCUCGUAGGUGGCCAACUAAGUCAGACGUGAAAUCCCUCGGCUUAACCGGGGAACUGCGUCUGAUACUGGAUGGCUUGAGUUUGGGAGAGGGACGCGGAAUUCCAGGUGUAGCGGUGAAAUGCGUAGAUAUCGAGAGGAACACCUGCGGCGAAGGCGGGUUGCUGGGCUGACACUGACGCUGAUUGUGCGAAAGCUAGGGGAGCGAACGGG